rnacentral:rRNA from 1 species
UAUGUGAUCGUCUCUCGCAUAUCAAUAAGCGGAGGAAAAGAAACUAACAAGGAUUCCCCUAGUAACGGCGAGUGAAGCGGGAAGAGCUCAAAUUUGAAAUCUUAAAGGGUUUCCCUUUACGAAUUGUAGUUUAAAGAAGUGUUUUCUGUUGAGGUUUUGGUAAAAGUUCUUUGGAAUAGGACAUCAUAGAGGGUGAGAAUCCCGUAUUUGACCUUUACUUUCAACUUUGUGAUACACUUUCAAAGAGUCGGAUUGUUUGGGAAUGCAGUCCAAAAUGGGUGGUAAAUUUCAUCUAAAGCUAAAUAUUGGCGAGAGACCGAUAGCGAACAAGUACCGUGAGGGAAAGAUGAAAAGAACUUUGAAAAGAGAGUUAAACAGUACGUGAAAUUGUCAAAAGGGAAGCGUUUGACACCAGUGUUGUUUUUCUGAAAAUCAAUUAAAGAACUGUUUAUGCUAAGCUGUUUAGACUUUAUCAGCUAACUGUUUAGUUUUGAGCUUUUCUUUAAUGCACUUUUCAGUUAACAAGUCAACAUCAAUUUCUUUUGCUGUAAAAAAGCUUGAGGAAGGUGGCUUGAGAUUCGUCUUAAGUGGUUAUAGCCUCUUGCCUAUGCAGUCGGAGAGAUUGAGGUCUGCAGCGUAGAUCCUUCGGGGCUAAAUGCAUUUGUGCUAAGUUAUACGCAUUUUAUAGACAACUUGUUGACUAUGAUUUGUCUUGUAGCUUACUCGCUUAUGUUAUUUUACCUACGCUUAGGAUGUUGAAGACUCUACAGAGAUA